ACGAACGCUGGCGGCAUGCCUAAUACAUGCAAGUCGAGCGAAUGACGAAGAAGCUUGCUUCUUCUGAUUUAGCGGCGGACGGGUGAGUAACACGUGGGCAACCUGCCCUGUAGAUUGGGAUAACUCCGGGAAACCGGGGCUAAUACCGAAUAAUCCAUUUCCUCUCAUGGGGAGAUGUUAAAAGACGGUUCCGGUUGUCACUACAGGAUGGGCCCGCGGCGCAUUAGCUAGUUGGUGAGGUAACGGCUCACCAAGGCGACGAUGCGUAGCCGACCUGAGAGGGUGAUCGGCCACACUGGGACUGAGACACGGCCCAGACUCCUACGGGAGGCAGCAGUAGGGAAUCUUCCACAAUGGACGAAAGUCUGAUGGAGCAAUGCCGCGUGAGUGAAGAAGGUUUUCGGAUCGUAAAACUCUGUUGUGAGGGAAGAACAAGUAUGAGAGUAACUGCUCGUACCUUGACGGUACCUCAUUAGAAAGCCACGGCUAACUACGUGCCAGCAGCCGCGGUAAUACGUAGGUGGCAAGCGUUGUCCGGAAUUAUUGGGCGUAAAGCGCGCGCAGGCGGUCCUUUAAGUCUGAUGUGAAAUCCCACGGCUCAACCGUGGAAGGUCAUUGGAAACUGGGGGACUUGAGUACAGAAGAGGAAAGCGGAAUUCCAAGUGUAGCGGUGAAAUGCGUAGAGAUUUGGAGGAACACCAGUGGCGAAGGCGGCUUUCUGGUCUGUAACUGACGCUGAGGCGCGAAAGCGUGGGGAGCAAACAGGAUUAGGAUACCCUGGUAGUCCACGCCCGUAAACGAUGGUGCUAAGUUGUUAGGGGGUCAUUCAGCCCUUAUCCGUGCCUGAGCUAACGCAUUAAGCACUCCGCCUGGGGAGUACAGGUCGCAAGGACUGAAACUCAAAGGAAUUGACGGGGGCCCGCACAAGCGGUGGAGCAUGUGGUUUCAAUUCGACGCAACGCGAAGAACCUUACCAUGGUCUCGAAUCCGGUAGUCACGGCGUAGAGCAUCGGCUACCCCUCGGGACAGGGGGUCUAUUCGAGGUGGCUGCAUGGCUGUCGUCAGCUCGUGUCGUGAGAUGUUGGGUUAAGUCCCGCAACGAGCGCAACCCUUGCCUCUAGUUGCUACGAGUAUUCAGUGGCACUCUCAGAGACUGCCGGUGGAUGAACCGGAGGAAGGUGGGGAUGACGUCAAGUCCUCAUGGCUCUUUAUGCCCUGGGCUACACACGUGCUACAAUGGCUGGUACAAAGGGUUGCAAGACCGCGAGGUGGAGCUAAUCCCAAAAAGCCAGGCCUCAGUUCGGACUGGCAGUCUGCAACUCGACUGCAUGAAGCUGGAAUCGCUAGUAAUCGCUGAUCAGCACGGCCGCGGUGAAUACGUUCCCGGGCCUUGUACACACCGCCCGUCACAGCACGAAAGUCCGGCAUGUACUAGAAGUCGGCUGCGCUAACCCGUAAGGGGGGCAGCGCCCUACGGUAUGGUCGGUGAUUGGGGUG
rnacentral:rRNA from 1 species